rnacentral:lncRNA from 1 species
UUGGUGCAUGUAAGGUGUUUGAUGAAAGUGUGAAUGAAGAAAUGAUGAGUGUAUGGAGCCUCUAUGCUCAGUAGGCCUUCCUACCAGGAAAGGAAGCUAGAGGAGAGUAAGAGAAUAAUGACACAAGGUCUGACCCAAAAGUAUAAGAAGCUUGAAUUAAAUUCAACAUUUCAUUAUACUUCAAAGGCGAGAAAUUACAUAGACAUGGC